CCCGAAACAUCACCUGUCCAUUUCCUUCCAGAGAUGUUGCCUGACUCAGCAUUUUGUUCUUUGCUCGUGAUCUGGUUUUUAGCUGUUUGCAGAAUCUUGCUGUGUGUUUCUGUGGUGUCCUGGGGUUGUGAAAUGCAGGUGUGUGUUUCUCAGGGAGUGUUAGCCGGGAUUAGUGAAGGUCUGUUUCAUGGGGAAGAGAUGAAAGUGAUGAUGUUGGAGUUGCGCAGCGUGGAAACAGACACUGGCCUAACUCAUCCAUGUCAAUCAAGGCGCCUUACUGAGUCACUCUGAUGGGCCUGUAUCCGCUAAACCUGAGUCACUCUGGGCCUGUAUCCCUCUAAACCCGAGUCACUCCUGAUUGGGCCUGUAUCCCUCUAAACCGGAGUCACUCCUGAUUGGGCCUGUAUCCCCUAAACCUGAGUCACUCUGGGUCUGUAUCCCUCUAAAUCCGAGUCACUCCUGAUUGGGCCUGUAUCCCUCUAAACCGGAGUCACUCCUGAUUGGGCCUGUAUCCCUCUAAACCGGAGUCACUCCUGAUUGGGCCUGUAUCCCUCUAAACCUGAGUCACUCCUGAUUGGGCCUGCACCCUCUAAACCUGAGUCACUCCUGAUUGAGCCUGAGUCAGCCUAAACCUUUCCUAAUCUUGGCACUGGCACAGAUGAGGAAUGGCAGGUAUGAAGUGGAAGACAUUUUAAAGUCUUCACAUCUAGUGGGCUAAAAGAGCAACCAAAACCAUGUUAAAUUCAUUAACUCUUCCCCAUACAAGAUCCUAGUCAGUAAAUCUAACUCAUGGUUAACACACCAGCUGAUUAGUUAUAAGUGAAGCCACAAUAGAUUAACAUUCACAGCGAGGAAGAAGCAGCUCCUGACUCAUUGAGUAGGGUCUUCAGGCUCUUGUAUCUCCUCCUCAAUUAUAAUCAUGAGAAGCGAGUGGUGAGGGUCCUUAGUGAAUGACGCUGCUGCCUGGAGGCAUCGCCUCUUGUACAUGUCCUCAGUUGUGGAGAGGGUUGUUCCUGUGAUGGAGCUGGUUUAGACCAUGGACUCUCCAUCCUAUUGUGAUCCAAUGCAUUGGAGUCUCUAUACUCCCCAGGCUGUCUUGUACUGACAUUAACACAUUUUUCCCUUUCAUUCCAGGAGUCUCUGUUCUACACUUCCUGUGUAUCCCAUGUCACUGGGUGUGCUCAGCAAGCACAGAUCUGAAAUCCUCGGUCUUCAAAGCUGCAGCUGAAUCCUCUAUCCCUCGUAUUUUGGGGAUGUAAUUACAGAUAUCCAUCAACCUCCCUGUUAUUCCAAACUUCACACCUGGAAACCUUUAAGAUUUAGGUAUGCAGUGCAAUAAUGAGCACGUGCUGACCCAUUACACCCAUAACCUACCAGGAACCCAUGCAGCCAUGGGGAGAAAAUACCAUCUCCUUACGGAGAGUGGUGGGAUUUGAUCCUGGAUUGCUGGCACAGCGAUAGUUAACCACCUAGUUAACCCUGAUAGUUAACCACAGCUAACCACCACACUACCAUGCCAUGUAUGCUCAUCACUGCAAUAUUAAUGAUAUUUAAAAAUUUAUUUUAAAAUAUUUUUUUCUAAAGUUGGAGAUACACCUCUUCACUGUCAUUAGAUAUUUCGCCAUUUAAAUAAAUCUUCGCCCCACCAGCUGACAUUCCUCAGAUCCAGGCUGAUGAAACUGUUAAAAUCGAUGAACACAUAACACACAUUCCUCACCGAUAGUUCAAGCGAUUGCAAGUACAGUGUUAAUUCAUUUCUGGAGCUUUGUGAGAUUAGCAGUUCCUCAGGCUGUACAGAAAUGUUAACCGUUGAGAAAUGUCCCCUUCCCCCAUCACCUGCUUACCACAGAUAAAAAUGACAGUCACACCUCCCCUCAGAUGAAUGAGUUGGAGCAUUCGAGAGAAUCCAGGUCUGACUGAGCAUCCGAACCACAGAAAUGGAUAUUGGGUUGUUCUGACAGGCUCAGGGAUCUGCGUGCAUGUCGUUCAGUGCUUUAUUUCUUCCCCUUUUUAUCCAUCUUUCAAUCCCACUUCUGACCACCUAAUUGUCCUUCACAUUUUGUGUGCCAGCCUUUGUUGUAGCAUCAGCCACAAUACUAAUAAAUCAAACACUGAGUGUGUGUUUGUGGGACUGCUUCUAUGGCCCAUCCACUUCAAGGUUAAUGUAUUGUGUUUUCAGAGAUGCACACACACCACUGUUGGAACGUAUAGUUAUUUGAGUUACUGUCACCUUCCUGUCAGCUUGAACCAGUCUGGCCAUUCUCCUCUGACCUCUCAUAUCAACAAAGUAUUUUUGCCCACAGGACUGCUGCUCAAUGGAUGAUUUUUGUUUUCAACACCAUUCUCUGUAAACUCUGGAGACUGUUGUGUGUGAAAAUCCCAGGAGAUCAGCAGUUUCUGAGAUACUCAAACCACCCCAUCUGGCACCAACAAUCAAUCCACUAUCAAAGUCACUUAGAUCACAAAUUUUCCAUUUCUGAUGUUUGGCCUGAAUAACAACUGAACCUCUUGACCAUUGUGUUCCUGCCAGAUGAUUGGUUAAUCAGAUAUUUGCAUUAACGACCAGGUGUACAGGUGUGCCUAAUAAAGCGGCCACUAAGUAUAUAUGCUGGGUAUCCAAAUACCCCACAACACAGCUUCUUUUAUCCCCCCUUCCCUCUACCCUCCUUCCCUCUCCCCCUCCAUCUUCCCCUCCCCCUCGUCUUCCCCUCCCCUUCCCUAUCCCCCCCACCUGCCUAUUGUGUUCUCAAAGAAUUCAAUCAAAUGUGAUUACCUUUCCAUAAAACUAUGUUGAAAUGGUUUGAUUACAUUUCUCUAAAGGACAAGUUACUUCUACCCCAAUUGGACUCCAGCAUCUCUCUAAUAAAAGUCGUUAAGGUAAGUGACCUUUAACUUUGUUUCCAUCGCUCCUUUGGAGAUUAGCUUUAUUUGUCAUAGGUACAGUGAAAUGCGUCAUUUGUGUCAAAUCAAAGCAGUGAGAAUGUUUCUGGUGCCAACAUAGCAUACCCGCAACGCACUAACCCUAACCUGUACGUCUUUGACAUUUGGGUGGAAAGCACCUGGAGAAAACCCACGUGAUCAUGGGAAGAAAAACUUCUUACUGACUUUUGUGGGAAUUGAACCCUGAUAGUUGAUCACUAGUGCCGUAAAGUGUUUGCGCUAACUGGUACGCCCUUCUUGAGCAAGGGUAUUCAGGAUUUUCCAUUCCAUUGGUUCCUUCCAUUGGUGAAUCUGAUAAAUUUUUAACAGGUAGUUCUGCUAUCCUCUUAAAUACUGGGUGCAGCCCACUGUGAUAUGGUGAUUUGUUUCUCCUUAGUUCCCCUAGUUUUUCAAGUACUUUAUUCCUCAUGAAAGAGAUUGUUGCAAGUACUUCAAGCUGACACUUUGGUUAUCCUUGGGACAUUUUCAGUGUCUCUACUUUGAACCAAAGUAUUAUUUAAAUUAUCUGCUAUUUUCUUAGCUGCUACAACAAGAUCAGGCACAUCUGCAAGGAACACGGCCACAAGAAAGCAGGAUCCAUCAUCAAGGACCCCACCAUCCAGGUCUUGCACUCUCCUCACUACUAUCAUAUCCUGUUUGACCUGCUGAGCAAUCCAGCAAGGUUUUCAAUUUUCCAUGAAGACACCUCUAGCUGCUCAAUCAGAAAAAUAAUAGGAACAAACUUUAAAACAUUCUCAUUAUGGGUGGUUGAAAAGCCAUAUGGGGUGUUGAGCUUCAGUAGGAAUUCAAGGGCCACGAGCCUCUGCAGCUUGCAAAAGCAGUCGGCCUCGGUCCCUGAGGGUUUCACUUAAUCCCUAGAGGUUCGAAGGAAGAUGCUGUGAGAGGGAGAGCCCAUUCACCGGCAUUGUCCUGAAGGACAGGGAGCAGACGUGGCAACUGCAACAGGCUGUUCUGUGGCAGACAGACAGACAGAGCUGGGGAUGAAGGUCAAAGGCAGCUCCUUACUGCCAUUUUUCACUUGCCGGCAACCUCCAGGCUUCUGUCUGCUCAGGACUGAGCAAGAUAAGACAGGAUGGAAGGAGAAGAUUUAGAUCAUAAAGGAAUUGCAGGCAGCUGUCAGGUGAGAUAUCGUACGUUGGAAUGUGAGGGGCUGUGGCUGUGUGAAUCCGAUUGUUCCUGUCCAUAUUUUUCAUGCGUUACUGUGUGGACUUAUAAAGGCCCCAUUCAUCUCUUCACUGUCACUUUCUCCUCCUGUCAUGGCCUCCCCCGAGAUCAUCUCCAGACCUGCUCCAUGUGCCCAGUUCAGUUACUGCCCCCAAGGCACAGUUCUGCUUUCACUAACUCUGACAAGUCAGAGAGAACCUGCAGCUGUCUGUCUCCCCGCAUCAUCAAUCUGCACUCUGUUCGUGUUGAUGUACACAUGCACAGCAUGUGUACAAUUCUAUAGUAGCUUGUACACACGUGACACACUUGACAUGCAGUACAAGUUCAUCAAACAACGUUACUGAAAUUAUCACAUGCUGCAUCUGAAUAAGACACACAAAAUACGGGAGCAACUCAGACGGUCAGGCAGCAUCUGUGGGGAAAAAGCACAGUUGAUGUUUUGGGCUGAAAAACCCAUCGGCAGGACUGAAGAGAAAAAGAUGAGGGGUGGAUUUAAAAGGUGGGGAGAAGGGAGAGAGACCCACCAGGUGAUAGGUGAAACUUGGAGAGGGAGGGGCGAAAUAAGCUGGGAAGUUGAUUAGUAAAAGAGAUACAGGACUGGAGAUGGAGGAGUCUGAUAGAAGAUGACAGAAGGCCAUGGAAGAAAGAAAAAGGGGGAAGAAGGUCCCGAGGGAGAUGCUGGGCAGUGUUCGGUGCCCCCGGUGUGGCCUCCUGUCCAUCGGUGAGAUCUGAUACAGACCGGGAGACCAUCUACGCUCCGUCUGCCAGAACAAGCGGGAACUCCCAGUUGCCAUCCACCCAACUCCACCUCCCAUUCCCACUCCAACACACCUAUCCUUGGCCCCCUCCACCAUCGCAAAGAGGCCAUGGCCAGCUCAGAGGAACAACACCCCACACUCUGCCUGGGCAGCCCCCACCCAAUGGCAUGAACGCCCCACCGCCACUGCCCCCCUUAGAGCAGUUCAGCACAGUACAGACCCUUUGGCCCGUACUCAAAAAUCCACACAGCCCUUCAUUCCUGCGGCCCAAAAAAUUGACUGUUUAUUACUCUCCAUAGAUGCUGCUUGACCUGCUGAGAUCCUGCAGCAUUUUGUGAGUGUUACUCUGGAUUUCCAAUAUCUGGAGAAUCUCUUUUCUGUAUGAUUUGCUCCUCCAUGUUUUCUUUCAUUCAUGUGCCCAGUUAAGAGUCACUUAAAUGUCCUGAAUCUAUCUUUCUUUACCACCAACCCCCACAGGGGAUUCCACACAUUUACCCCUCUCUGUGUGAAUAAAAAGCAUACCUCUGACAUCCCCCUGUACUUUCCUCCAAUCACUGUAAAAUUAUACCCCCUUGUAUUAGCCACUUCUGCCCUGGGGAAAAAUGCACUGGCUGUCCAUUUAAUCUAUACAUCUUAUCAUCUCAUACACCUCUAUCAAGUCACCUUCCACCUUCCUUCACUCCAAAGAGAUAAGCCCCAGCUCACUCAACCUCUCCUCACAAGACAUGCCCUUUAGUCCAGCUGGCAUCCUGGUAAACUCCUCUGUAGCCUCUCUAAAGCUUCCACAUCCUUUCUAUAAUGAGGCAACCAGAACUGAACACAGUAACCUAAGUUUUGACAAAUUAAGAGCUGGAACUACAGUGAUACAUAACGGUAUUCAGGGCUCUGGGGAAAGAGAAGGGGGAGUGGGAUUGAUUGGAGAGCUUCUACACGCUGUCAGCUCCACCCCCAGAAGUAGUUUUCACCAAAAUAAAAAGAGAAUCCAUGUGAGGAUGUUGGGGAGCAAGUUCUCUGAUGCCUGCCUGUCCCUUCACAGUUCAUUGAUUUGGCUCUCCAACAGCUUCCUAUUAAUAGCCCCUGUGAGGUGUGUUGUCCUAGUCCAGUCAAGGUGGCCAUUUGCGGAUAUAAAUGGCAGCCAUUCGAAGGUCCUGCUUGUUUUUUUUAAUAUAUUUAUUUGUAACUUAUAGUAGUUUUAUGUAUUGUGCAGUACUGCUGCUGCAAAACACCAAAUUUCAUGACACAGAACAAAGAACAUAGAACAUUUCAGCACAAUACAGGCCCUUCAGCCCACAAUGUUGUGCAGACCUGUUAACCUGCUCUACGGUCACGUGAUAACACACUCCUAUCUAGUCAGAAUGCACAGAAGUAUGAGUGGUGCCAAUUUGUCUUGGAAAUUCCCCAUUGGAGUCAGUGUGCUCCUUCUCCAGCAGGUGAUUGGCUCAAGUAGAACCCUCAACUGCCCACAGCCUUGGCCCAAGAAUUGCCACUUUGGCCAGGCUCAGGAGCAGAGAAUCAGGAGAUCCACCGACCAACCCACCCUUGCCUCCCUGCACCAGCUGACUGAAGGUGAGGGGUGUCAAGCUGAAGUGCGGCCCAUACCUGGGGAACAGCCCCUCAGUUACUCAGGCUGCACCUUCUCGUGCUCGAUUACACCAACUCCCCCUAGCUGCAGAAAUGACAGGCAGGGGUGGGGAGUCCAUAAACCGAUCAAAGUAUCUUGCACAGUAAUGCUCUGUGCAACAUUUGGCACCCCAGAUCCCCAAUGUGAAUGGAGUCCUCCACCGGGCACUCUCCUCAUUGCCAGUGGUAAGACAGACAAGGCCAAAAAUGUGUACAGUGUCCAGGAGGACACCCAUAUAAAACUGCCUCACCCAUCACAAAAUGGGCAAGUAGCUCCUGUUGUGCGGGGCUGGCUCCCAGGUGAGAUUUCAGGCCUUUGGUCGGAUGAAUAGCUCUGACUGAGCAGGGGUCAGUCAGUUACCCCUGACUACCCCUAACUGGCCACUGUGACAGAAUGGGGUUCCAUAGAAAGCUUCUUAUCUGGAUGCACGAUGACUGCAAGAAACUGCACAGAAUUGUCACAGGAACCAGCCACCCCUCUAAAGACUCUAUCUAUACUUUCCACUGCCUCAGUAAAGCAGCCGUUGUAAUCAAAGACCGCCACCCCCCCCCCCCCCCCCCCAACCAUCCCAGGCAUUCUGUCUUCUCCCCUCUCCCAUCAGACAGAAAAUACAAAAGCCUGAAAGCACACACCACCAGGCUGAAGGACAACUUUUAUCCCACUAUUAUCAGACUCUUUAAUGAUAUGACAGGAUAGACUCAUGACCUCACAGUCCACCUCGUUAUGAUUUACUCUUUAUUGUUUACCUGCACUGCUCUUUCUCAGUAGCUUUUAUGUUUUAUUCUGCAUUCUGUUAUUGUCUUGCCCUCUUCUAGCUCAAAACCCGGUGUAAUGGUUUGUAUAAACAGAAUGCAAGACAAGCUUUUCACUGUAUCCUGAAAAGUUAAAGAUUAGCUUUGUCACAUAUACAUCAAAACAUAAAGUCUGGCACAUGGACGAUAGAAAAAUGGAGGGCUUUGGAGGAGGGAAAAGGUUCGAUUGAUUUUAGAGUAGGUUAAAAUAUCAGCACAACAUUGUGGGCUGAAAACCCUUAUUGUGUUGUAGUGUUCUGUGUUCCAUGAAGAGCAUCAAUGACCAACAGUCCAAGAAUGCGCUGCAGGCACCACGAUUCCUCUGCCAACAUUUAUUAAUCCUAAUUUGCAUGUACUUUUGGAAUGUGGGAGGAAACGAGUACAUGAAAGAACCCCAUGCGGUUGUGGGAAGAACGAAUUGAAGCCUCUGUUGGAAGUUGUAAAACUCUGUUACAAUGCAGCCUUCAUGUGACAACAAUAAACCAAUAUCAGAAUUUCCUUCACAGCCACUGCACCAUUUUCUGCUGUCUCUGAUGUGGACUAACUGGAUUCUAACAACUUGCACUUGUACCUCAAUCACACCUGGUUUACUUGCUUUGACUGUCUUCUUAGUAAGCUUUGACUCAGAGAAAGGUUGUACAAAGUGCCUGCUCUGUUUGGUUAGCACACUUUUUAACACUUGCUAUGUCACCAUUCCCACAGAGGUGAGAAGCCACUUACUGCUUAGCUCUGCUCUCCUUUCUUCUCGGUGGUCAUAUUCCUGGCUUUUACAUUUGUGAAACUUCCCUUUCAUGUUUUCCAGAACAGAUAAUGUAUUUGAUUUUGUUCAGAUGAUCUUACAGCAGCAAAAUGAGCGAUUAUUAGAGUGGGUGGGCAGCUCCUCACCCACCAUGAUUCACAUGGGGCAGGUAGAGGGGUGGGUGUUGGGAAGAACAGAUUUGUCACAAACUUGCCAUAAUGCUGCAUUAAAAAACGUAAAAACAACUGCCUUUUGAUCACAGAUACAUUUAUCAUUACGUAUUGGAUUCAGUGAUGUUGAUCCCAGAGUUCUUCAGAAGUUGUCAAUCUUGGUGCUUGUGGUUGGUUUAUUAACUUUUAUUGACCCACUUUCAAGGACUCUUUAUGUUCUCAGUAUUGUUUUAUUUAUUUGGACAAUUUGUUUUCUUUUCAACUUUUGUUAUUUGUCAUAUUUUGUGUAUGUAUGAAUUGUUUUGUAUUUCUUUAUCUUCCUGUAAAUGCACCGUCUGAGAUAUUUAUCAGGAGCGCUGCGUAACAGGGUCCUUAGCAUUGUCAAUAAUCACUCCCAUCCGUCCAACCAUCUCUUUGACCCCCCACCAUCAGGCAGGCAAUAGUACAAGAACUGUUAGGAUGGGGGGGGAACAGCUUCUUCCCCAGGCUGCAGACUACUGAACUCCCUGCCACCCCCAAGUCUCAUCACUAAUGAAGCUCCAGUAGUAUUAUACUUUCUAACUUGUGUUGUAAAUGCACCUUAUUAUUUGUUAAUUUAUUUCUGGUAAUAUUGCUUUCUGUGUUAUGUGUAAGUUACAUGUUCUAUGUUGGUCCAGAGUAACAUUGUUUCGUUUGACAGUACACAUGUACGCCAUUGAAUGUGUUACGUACUCGUGACACAUGACAGUGGAGCCCUUGUCAUGUGACUGGGGUUGAAGCUGUACUGGACUUGAGGUGAUGGUCUUGUGAUGGUGGAAUGACGUCAUUUUCCCGCCAGUAGAGAUCAUGUGACGGGUUUUUUUUACAGGUUAUAAAAGGUAGACCCCACCCUGUGAGGAGGGGCAGUUCGUGGCUGGAUUUGCCAAGUUGACUUCAUGCCACUGCGUGUUUGAAGUGAUGACGCAGUUUAGUUGAAGGAUGAAGUUUUUAUUUAAUGUCUAAAGUUUAAAAAGGUCAUUGCCAGCAGGUUCUUUAUGAUUCUGUUAGUUUGAGAAUUAGAGGAGAGUGAAGAUUCAAAGUUGGAAGUUAAAGAUCGAGGAGAAUCGCUUUCUACGGUGAAACGGGGGCGACCUUUGCUUGUUCCUUAUUUGGAAGGAUUUCGUUGACUAUCUUCGUGUUAAUCCCUAGGUUUACCUAGAAAGGAUUGAAGGUAGUGGAGAAGGAAAGGUCAGUGCCUUUAAGCCGUUCUGUUUCGUAAAUUCUUCGUGGGAAGUUCGACGUCGGGGAUCGAAGCAAGCGACGUGAAAGAGAACCUAAAUCGUCCUGUAAAGUCUCUCCUUUUAAAUGGACUGUGAGCAUAUCGAACUUUUGGCAAUACCACUUUAAAGAACUGUUUUGGAAUAUCACUUUACGAACUGUUUGAACAGCCGCUCAGCAGCUGUUUCCGGUUACGGUAGUGUUUGUUUACUUUUGGGGGGUUUGUUUUCUGUGUUUAAUAAACGUGUUGUUUGUUAUAAGAAA